rnacentral:rRNA from 1 species
AUUGAACGCUGGCGGCAUGCCUUACACAUGCAAGUCGAACGGUAACAGGUCUUCGGAUGCUGACGAGUGGCGAACGGGUGAGUAAUACAUCGGAACGUGCCUAGUAGUGGGGGAUAACUACUCGAAAGAGUGGCUAAUACCGCAUGAGAUCUACGGAUGAAAGCAGGGGAUCGCAAGACCUUGUGCUACUAGAGCGGCCGAUGGCGGAUUAGGGAGUGGGUGGGAUAAAAGCUUACCAAGCCGACGGUCUGUAGCUGGUCUAAGAGGGCGAUCAGCCACCCUGGGACUGAGACACGGCCCAGACUCCUACGGGAGGCAGCAGUGGGGAAUUUUGGACAAUGGGCGCAAGCCUGAUCCAGCAAUGCCGCGUGCAGGAUGAAGGCCUUCGGGUUGUAAACUGCUUUUGUACGGAACGAAAAGCCCUGGGUUAAUACCCUGGGGUCAUGACGGUACCGUAAGAAUAAGCACCGGCUAACUACGUGCCAGCCGCCGCAGUAA